UACAGAGGGGGCAAGCGUUGCUCGGAAUCACUGGGCGUAAAGGGCGCGUAGGCGGGAUGGCAAGUCGGUCGUGAAAUCCUUCGGCUCAACCGAAGAACGUCGGCCGAUACUGCCGUUCUUGAGGGAUGCAGAGGAGAUUGGAAUUCCCGGUGUAGCGGUGAAAUGCGCAGAUAUCGGGAAGAACACCCGUGGCUAAGGCGGCUCUCUAGUACGGUACUGACGCUGAGACGCGAAAGCGUGGGGGAGCGAAACAGGG
rnacentral:rRNA from 1 species